GUCAGCUGACACAUUCCAGCCAAUCAGCAGCAGACCCUCCCUCCCAGACCCUUCUACCUCCUGGACAGCAUCCAUUUUGAAGCUGCAUUCUUAGUGAGCUGUCCAGGAGGUGGGAGGGUCUGGGAGGGAGGGUCUGAUUGGCUGGAAUGUGUCAGCUG